rnacentral:lncRNA from 1 species
GGACCCAUUGCAAAACCCACUGCAAUGUGCAUGAGGCCGAGCGAGCUUGCAACCCCCAGGGCCCGUUGCAACCUGCACGGGGCUGGGGGCUCUCAACCCUUAACCCCUCUCUUUGUCCCUCCCCCCCUUCCAAGGAGCACGGUGCCAGCGGGACGAGGACUGCGGGGUGGGCAGCUGCUGCGCGCGGCGGCACGGCGAGUUACUGUGCCAGCAGCGGCUGGAGCUGGGGCAGAGCUGCCACGUGCCCCCCGGGGGUCUGGCCUUCAGCAUCAACCAGGUGUGCCCCUGCCAGGCUGGGCUGGUGUGCCGAGCAUCGCCCCCACCACGAGAGAAAGCAUUCGAGUAUUGGCCGGAGAAGAGCGAGUGGAGGUGCCGGCAGCCCUGAGCCAGCAGCGCUGUAUUUAUUCCCUGUAAAUAGCAUGUACAGCCCCACUGCACCCCAAAGCAGGACGUGUUCCCUCCCCAGGAGCCGGGCAGGUCCCGGCCACCCCCAACCCCCUCCAGGAGAGGCUGCGGUCACUGCAGAGCCGAGCUGUGCUUGGUCUCAGCCCCCCCCCCCCCCCCCCAACCAGGCACAGCCGCGGGGAGAGAUCUCACCGAAAUGUUUAUUACAAAGAACCAAGCGAGCGGGGCGAGCCCCCCCCACACACGAAGGAGAAUAAAUAAAUAAAAUACACUUUGUCGGGGUCUUUU